rnacentral:lncRNA from 1 species
AGAAAAUGGAAAUUCUAAAACUAAAACACCAUGACUUACUUGGCUACAUUCUUGCCGCAGCUUCUUCUGCCAAUCUGGUCCCAAACCUUCCUUGGCACUCCCUAAACUUCCUCACUUCAUCAAUGGCUGAAAGAGCACUCACUGGAUCUAGUAUCUUCACUAUUGCAUCUGUUAGUGAAGUGGCAUAAUCGGUGUGGUUGCAAAGGUUCAGCUUGUAAUG